UCAAACAGACACGCCAUUCCAUAGAUGCCUUUAAAAAUCAGAUUAAAGUUUUCUAACGAGGAUGUGUGGGGUUUUGUUUCUGGACUCCAACUGGGCAAUCUCGGAGAAUGGGAUUGUCCCAGAGGAGACGCGGGGAGAACAUUAGCGUCAGCUGUCCAUUUAAAGCAGCGGGUGUGUGGUGAGAAGAGGAGGGGUGCUGGAGUCGUCAAGGCCAGGAGGUGCUGGAGGAGGAGAGGCUGCGGGAACCUCUGUGCAUCGCCUCUGCAGACAGCAUGCUGGGAACCAGGAGAAACAGCGGCUGCUUAAGUCCUUGCCUAGGAUGGUCCAGCAACUCCAGACGUGCUGUCGCCUUCUCACCUCCUCUGCUGAGAGCUACAGAUCCUUCGUUGACAGACAGGGAGGGAAAUGUGCAAAUGGAGUGGGCACGAGCAAUUUGUCCUCUGAGAGGCUCCAUCCAGCAGCUGACUCAGACAGAUGCAGACAUCCACAGCCAGAGGAUGGAGCUUGGGGACUCCUAUGGAAGAAUAGGAGGAAGAAUUGUGGGCUCCGAAGGGGAUAGGAACUCCACAGGAAGACCAACAGAGUCAACUAACCUUUACCCUUGGGAUUUCAGCGUCUGAACCACCAACCAAAGAACAUACACAGGCUGGACCUAGGCUUCCCCACAUAUAUGUACAGUUGGACCUCCACGUGGGUCCUCAACAACUAGACCGAGGGCUAUCCC
rnacentral:lncRNA from 1 species